AUCCUUUUGUAAGGGUUCAUAAGGGUGACGUUUGGCUUUUCAUGCUCAUGUGUGAGAUGUGCCUUCCCCAAACCUUGCUGCUUGGGCACAUUAACCCACCUGACA